UGCUUCGCCAGCUUUUGCUUUUUCACGUAAGAUUCAUCUAAAUUUAGAAAAAGAAAAAAAGUACAACUCGAGUGUAAUAGUACUCAGCUUUAAAAUAGAAUUCAGUGGUAACCGAUAGCUAAAAUUAAGCAAACUGCAUCUGAUUCUUCGGUGUCAUCUACUAGUAUAAAAUAUGUUAAUUAGACAAAUACUUUUCAAAAGUGAUUUUCAUAUGCAAUUUUAUUUGCAGUUUUAAAUGUAUGUCUUAUCGGACAUAUGGUAAAUAUAGACAGCUAUGGCAUUCUAGGAAGUGUUCGAAUUAGCAUUUUUAACAUUUUACAUCAUUAAGAUAUAGAGAAAGGAUUUCCAAGUUAUCUUUUGCAAUAGAUUUUUAUGGCUCCUAGGUUCAAAAUUACCCUCACAGACUCUUCCCGUGCCAUGACACCUACAUGGUUUCCUAAGGGCCUCAGAGCUGAGAGCACUCUUUCUGUCAAUGCAUUUGAAAGUCCUCUUUUUUUCUCUCUCUUGCCGCUCCAGUCCUUCAGUGCUGACCAGAUUGCCGAACCGGUGAAUGCAAGAUCACCUUAAGUCAGGUGGGCGACGUCCUCCGGGCUCUGGGCACCAAUCCCACAAAUGCAGAAGUCAAGAAGGUUCUCGGGAACCCUAGCAAUGAAGAGAUGAAUGCUAAGAAAAUCGAGUUUGAACAGUUUCUGCCCAUGAUGCAAGCCAUCUCCAACAACAAGGACCAGGGAGGCUAUGAAGA
rnacentral:lncRNA from 1 species